rnacentral:lncRNA from 1 species
UUUGGUCCCGUCCCGUUGGACAGCCGUAGAACCAACUGAGCUCCAUCAUCACCGCUGACAAAGAGCCACCGAACUAUCAUCGGGAAAACGCCGUUCACUAUAAAAAUAAAGGUGGCAAUCAACUCACAAUCCCAACAAAAAUCCAAUAAAAAACUCAACAAACCCCAUUUCAAAAUUACUAUUUCAGUAAACAUGCAAAGAAAUUACCAAAUCACACAGAAGUAUAAGUAGGAGAAAAAAUUGGAGCAUUGAAAGAGAUGGGAAAAAAUAAUACCAAGACAAAGGGUCCUUUAUUUUCUCUUCAAUUCACACCGACUUUAACAUUCAAUGAACUUCUAGGCAAAUCUUUGGAUAUAUCAAAUCAAACUAGUCUAAGACAUUGGAUUUUAAACUCGAAGACCCAUCUCCAUUGAUGUAUGUAAAAUUUUGG